rnacentral:tRNA from 1 species
GCGGGUGUAGCUCAGUUGGUUAGAGCGCUAGGUUGUGGUUCUGGAUGUCGUGAGUUCGAAUCUCAUCACUCGCCCCA